rnacentral:tRNA from 1 species
GUUGUAGCUCAGUGGUAGAGCGCAUGCCUUGCAUGUGUGAGGCACUGGGUUUGAUCCUUACCAUCACA